rnacentral:rRNA from 1 species
GAUGAACGCUGGCGGCGUGCUUAACACAUGCAAGUCGAACGGUGAAGGCGGAGCUUGCUCUGCUGGAUCAGUGGCGAACGGGUGAGUAACACGUGAGCAAUCUGCCCCUGACUCUGGGAUAAGCGCUGGAAACGGCGUCUAAUACUGGAUACGAGCUGCGAAGGCAUCUUCAGCAGCUGGAAAGAACUUCGGUCAGGGAUGAGCUCGCGGCCUAUCAGCUUGUUGGUGAGGUAACGGCUCACCCAGGCGUCGACGGGUAGCCGGCCUGAGAGGGUGACCGGCCACACGGGGACUGAGACACGGCCCAGAGUCCUACGGGGGGCAGCAGUGGGGAAUAUUGCACAAUGGGCGAAAGCCUGAUGCAGCAACGCCGCGUGAGGGACGACGGCCUUCGGGUUGUAAACCUCUUUUAGCAGGGAAGAAGCGAAAGUGACGGUACCUGAAGAAAAAGCGCCGGCUAACUACGUG